rnacentral:rRNA from 1 species
AGUGGAUGGGGAGCAACCUAGUUGUGAGUGUGGAAAGGUAGUGCCAAGAAAAGCUGUCAGAAUGAUGAGAAUUGAGUCCCGGUACCCGAAACCGACACAGGUAGGCAAGUAGAGAAUACUAAGGGGCGCGAGGUAACUCUCUCCAAGGAACUCGGCAAAAUGACCCCGUAACUUAGGGAGAAGGGGUGCCACCGAGAGGUGGUCGCAGUGAAGAGGCCCAGGCGACUGUUUAGCAAAAACAUAGGUCUCUGCAAACUCGAAAGAGGAAGUAUAGGGGCUGACGCCUGCCCAGUGCCGGAAGGUUAAAGAAGUUGGUCAGGAGAAAUCUGAAGCUGGCGACUGAAGCCCCGGUGAACGGCGGCCGUAACUAUAACGGUCCUAAGGUAGCGAAAUUCCUUGUCGGGUAAGUUCCGACCCGCACGAAAGGCGUAACGAUCUGGGCGCUGUCUCGGAGAGAGGCUCGGCGAAAUAGGAUUGUCUGUGAAGAUACGGACUACCUGCAUUUGGACAGAAAGACCCUAUGAAGCUUUACUGUAGCUUGAAAUUGUGUUCGGGCUUCCUGUGCGCAGGAUAGGUGGGAGGCGAGGAAGGUCUGCUUGUGGGCAGAUUGGAGCCAACCGUGAGAUACCACUCUCAGGAGGCUAGAAUUCUAACUUAAUUAAGGACAGUUUCAGGUGGGCAGUUUGACUGGGGCGGUCGCCUCCAAAAAGGUAACGGAGGCGUACAAAGGUUCCCUCACACUGGUUGGAAAUCAGUGGCAGAGUGCAAAGGCAGAAGGGAGCUUGACUGCGAGACGGACAAGUCGAGCAGGGUGGAAACACGGUCUUAGUGAUCCGACGGUGCUGUGUGGAAGGGCCGUCGCUCAACGGAUAAAAGUUACUCUAGGAUAACAGGCUGAUCUCCCCCAAGAGUUCACAUCGACGGGGAGGUUUGGCACCUCGAUGUCGGCUCAUCGCAACCUGGGGCGGAAGUACGUCCCAAGGGUUGGGCUGUUCGCCCAUUAAAGCGGUACGUGAGCUGGGUUCAGAACGUCGUGAAACAGUUCGGUCCAUAUCCGAUGUAGGCGUGAGAAUAUUGAGAGGAGCCUUCCUUAGUACGAGAGGACCGGGAAGGACGCACCGCUGGUGUACCUGUUAUGAUGCCAAUCGUAAACGCAGGGUAGCCAAGUGCGGAGAGGAUAACCGCUGAAAGCAUCUAAGUGGGAAGCCCACCUCAAGAUGAGUAUUCUGGUGUAAGGUCACGGGGAGACGACCCGUAGAUAGGCACGAGGUGGAAGUGCAGAGAUGUAUGAAGCCGAAGUGUACUAAUAGACCGUCGGCUUGACC